rnacentral:rRNA from 1 species
GACAGAGGUGCCAAGCGUUAGGCGGAAUCACUGGGCUUAAAGCGUGUGUAGGCGGACUGUUAAGUACCUUGUGAAAUCCCACGGCUCACCGUGGAACUGCUCGGUAUACUGGCGGUCUUGAGCUGCUUGAGGGUCGUCGGAACAAACGGUGGAGCGGUGAAAUGCGUAGAUAUCGUUUGGAACGCCAAUGGUGAAAACAGACGACUGGGAGCAUGCUGACGCUGAGACACGAAAGCCAGGGGAGCGAACGGG